UUAGGAAUUUUGGGCAAUGGGGGAAACCCUGACCCAGCAACGCCGCGUGGGUGAUGAAGGCCUUCGGGUCGUAAAGCCCUUUUCCCAGGGACGAUAGUGACGGUACCUGGGGAAUCAGCCCCGGCUAACUACGUGCCAGCAGCCGCGGUAAUACGUAGGGGGCAAGCGUUGUCCGGAUUUAUUGGGCGUAAAGCGCUCGCAGGCGGCUCGAUGCGUCGUGCGUGAAACACCCCGGCUCAACUGGGGAGGGUCGUGCGAUACGGUCGGGCUUGAGGCCAGUAGGGGGAUGCGGAAUUCCGGGUGUAGUGGUGGAAUGCGUAGAGAUCCGGAGGAACACCAGCGGCGAAGGCGGCAUCCUGGACUGGUACUGACGCUCAUGAGCGAAAGCGUGGGGAGCGAUCCGGAUUAGAUACCCCCGUAGUCC
rnacentral:rRNA from 1 species